UACGUAGGUGGCGAGCGUUAUCCGGAAUUAUUGGGCGUAAAGCGCGCGCAGGUGGUUUCUUAAGUCUGAUGUGAAAGCCCACGGCUCAACCGUGGAGGGUCAUUGGAAACUGGGAGACUUGAGUGCAGAAGAGGAAAGUGGAAUUCCAUGUGUAGCGGUGAAAUGCGUAGAGAUAUGGAGGAACACCAGUGGCGAAGGCGACUUUCUGGUCUGUAACUGACACUGAGGCGCGAAAGCGUGGGGAGCAAACAGGA
rnacentral:rRNA from 1 species